rnacentral:lncRNA from 1 species
UACAAUUAUAAUCUAAUAUAACAUAAUUUGUUGAAGUUACCUUACACAUGUGAAAUUGAAUUGAUAUUUUUUGUUUAAAUUGUAAAAAUAUAUAAUGUUGUGCUAUCGAAAUGUUAAUUAUUAUAGGCAUUGUUAAUUAAUAAUCACAAAUUGAACUUGUCUUCCAAUGAUGUUUUCCAAAAUGGUAAUAAUAAUUAUGUAUCGCGAUUUAUUGAUCGAGACGAAUCUUUGUUAAUAAUAUUAAAAGUUAUAUAUUGAGAGUUGUAGCCGUUAAGCAUUAACAUUUAAGGUCAAGGAUUAUUAAAAUUUAAUAUAUAUAUAUUGCAUACAUGAUUCAUGAGAAAACUAGAUGUAAAAAUUAAAUGUUAAUUCACUUUCGACAAUGAUUUUAUUUAUUUCUAAACGCAAGAACAGCUGAUUUGAUAUUGUUUCAAACAUAAUCUAAAAUUUAUCAAAAUAAUAACUAUUAGUACUACAAUAAAAAUAUUUGAAUUAUCUAUCUCUGUGUGUAUAUAACGACUAAUUAAACAUUCUUUCUUUUUAAACACUUUUUCAUAGAUAUAUAAAAAAAAAGUUUCUUAUUCAGAGUAAAAUCAUUUGAAAAUCUACACAUCUAUUUUUCUUUUAUUGUAUCUUGCACAAUUGAACGUACCAAAAAAAGCCUUUCUCAUUUUUGUAUCUGUGAUUAAUGAUAAGAGGCUUUGUAUUCAAAGACAAUAAUUAAUUCUCUAUUCGCUCUAAUUAAAAUAUAUGCUGCAACAAAGAUAAAUACGUACACAUGUACAAUAUGUAGUAUCGAUAUACGUAACUAUAUCAAGAAUAUAUCUUUGAGUUUUCAUAAAAAAGAAAAAGAAAAAUUUUUCAAUUAUAUAGAUCAUAUAUAGAAACUAAUUUCUAAUAUUUCUGAUCAAAGUUAUUAUCAUCCUGAAAUAGUGCUACGUUGUUACUAUACGUUUGCAUAAUAAUAAUAACAAUAAUACCAAUAAUGAUGACGAUGAUGAUGAUAAUAAAUGUAUACAAUGAAGAAACUUUGAAAACUGAGAACCAUUUUUUUCAUUUAGAUUUUAAAUCGCUUUGUUAGAAGUGUCAUCUUUAGACAACAACGAUGCAUUAAAAGUCAACUUGUUCAAUGUUUUUUCGUGUAGUUUGAAUGUAUGUAUAGGAGUUUCGCAAAAUGAUAUAAUCAGGUGCUUCCCUUAUUAAAAAGACGACGGGAAGAUAUUACAAAUAAUAUAUAAAUAUAAGAAAUGAAAAUAAAUUAUCAAAAUUUUAUGAAAUUGUAUUUCACUUGUACCUGUUUUGGGUUGAAUUAUUUUAAUCAAACCUUUCUCUAGAAUCCAAUUUCAUUUUUAUCUAGAGAAUACAACUUUCUCUCUUUGGUAAAAAGUUAUAGAUAAAACCACAAAUUAAAUUUCCGUUGAAUGUCAUGCUCUGAAUAUUCUGCGUCGGUGUAUAUAAGGUUUGCGUGCUCAUUUCAAAUUCCAUAGUAAUAGUCAUUUAACAUUGCUGUAAUAAUAUAAUUAUUCGUUGAUUAAAUGUCAUGUUAUUAUUGAACAAAUUAAUUUUUAUAUGUUCUUUUUUGUGGCUUGUAGUGUAUGCAUCAUCGAAUGAUAAUAAGCCAGACAAAUCGUACUAUGAAAAAUAUGAGAAAAUUCCACGUGUUAAAAUAAAAGUAUUUCGUGGUCCGAAU